AACACCUCAAAGCCUUUUUUUUUAUUAAGAAAGAUUUUGGACUUGAGCAAUCCCAACACUUUUCUCCAAAAGUGGCGGGUUGCUUGAAAUGCAGGUGCAGCUGGACAUUCUCCUGAGCUAAAAGCAUAUUCAUUUAGUCCCGUCAAACGGAUUAUUACUUUUGCUGCAGCUAACAUAAAGGGAGUUUGACCAUUUUGGCUGACUGAUGCAGGAUUUUCACAAGAGUCUUCAAACCACUCUUGUUAA
rnacentral:misc_RNA from 1 species